rnacentral:rRNA from 1 species
GAUGAACGCUAGCGGCAGGCCUAAUACAUGCAAGUCGAACGAGAUUAAGAGGCUUGCUUCUUAUGAAAGUGGCGCACGGGUGCGUAACGCGUAUGCAACCUACCUUAAUCAGGGGGAUAGCCCGAAGAAAUUCGGAUUAAGACCGCAUAAAAACACAGGAUAGCAUUAUCCAAUGUUCAAAUAUUUAUAGGAUUAAGAUGGGCAUGCGUGUCAUUAGCUAGUUGGCGGGGUAACGGCCCACCAAGGCGACGAUGACUAGGGGAUCUGAGAGGAUGACCCCCCACACUGGUACUGAGACACGGACCAGACUCCUACGGGAGGCAGCAGUAAGGAAUAUUGGUCAAUGGAGGGAACUCUGAACCAGCCAUGCCGCAUGCAGGAAGACAGCCCUCUGGGUCGUAAACUGCUUUUAUUCGGGAAUAAACCUUUCUACGUGUAGGAAGCUGAAUGUACCGAAGGAAUAAGGAUCGGCUAACUCCGUG